GUAGGUGGCAAGCGUUGUCCGGGAAUUAUUGGGGCGUAAAGCGCGCGCAGGCGGUUCUUUAAGUCUGAUGUGAAAGCCCACGGCUCAACCGUGGAGGGUCAUUGGAAACUGGAGAACUUGAGUACAGAAGAGGAAAGCGGAAUUCCACGUGUAGCGGUGAAAUGCGUAGAGAUGUGGAGGAACACCAGUGGCGAAGGCGGCUUUCUGGUCUGUAACUGACGCUGAGGCGCGAAAGCGUGGGGAGCAAACAGGAUUAGAUACCCUGGUAGUCCACGCCCGUAAACGAUGAGUGCUAAGUGUUAGGGGGGUUUCCGCCCCUUAGUGCUGCAGCUAACGCAUUAAGCACUCCGCCUGGGGGAGUACGGCCGCAAAGGCUG
rnacentral:rRNA from 1 species